rnacentral:lncRNA from 1 species
CUUUAAUUUAACAAAUCCUCCGUUGUCGAUGCCUUCGCCUCUGGUGGAAUUUUGAGCAAAUAUUAUGUAAGUACGAUACUUUCCUCCUCGCUUUUUACUAUGGUAUGAUAUUUGGUCUUUGCUUUUUACUGUGCUCAAGUAAUUUCAGUUUUGGAAAAAUCUAACCCUCACCCCUACUUCUUUGCAGAACCCUACUUAAUUCGUAGGAAAAAUCUCACCCUCAUCCUUACUUCUUUGCAGAACCCGACUUACUUCAUAGGAAAAAUUUCACCCUCAUUCCAACUUGUUUACAGAAUCUGAUAAUAGGAAUCUAUCCAAGAUUGUUUAAAAUUUUUGGUAGAAAAACUGUUGAAUUAGUAGAACAGUUUGUUGAAAACUGUUGGAAGAAAAAAAUGGAUGGAAUAUGAGGUUUGCAAAUUUGUUGAUUUUACAGUGUUAUGUGAUGGUUGUCUAAUGUAGUGUAAUUUGUCUGUCAUUUGUAUAUAGUAUGUCAGGAAAGAACUUUGGACUUUAUCAUAGCUAUAGAAAGAAGGGACACUUCUUUACGGAUUGCCAGAAAAAAGGCGAUGCCCCCUGGUGUAAAAGUGAAUUUUUGAAGUGUUUUGAGGUCGAAAGGUAAACGAAGAACAAGGGAAAAUUAUUCAACUGCUGCAGUGCUAACUGUAACUAUUGGGAAUGGGUCGACGAGGGAGAAUCAAGCUGUGGAUCAAGUAAUGUUACCGUUAACUCGAAUAAUCAUGCAGCACUCGAAGAAGUUCAGCAGCUCUCGCAUGUUCCAGUCUCUUUGUCGGAUAACCGAGGAAUGAAACAUUGAGAUUUCUUUGAACUUGACAAUAAGGAAGGCCAACAAAAGUGCAGGAGUGGAUAAGAAAGGGAAGAGGCCAGCAUGAUUAGUUAUUAUAUUUUCCUAGUAAGCAUUGCUAUCAUAUUUGAUGUGCAAUAUGUGUUGUGUUAUGUGUAGUUCAGGUGUAGCUGUUGGUGAAUUGAAGAAGUCAUUGUAAUAUAGUCUCUUUUGAUGCUAGAAUCUCUAUGAUAACGAUGCUGGUGUUAAUGGUAAUGGACUACAAUCUGUG